GAUGAACGCUGGCGGCGUGCCUAAUACAUGCAAGUCGAGCGAACAGACGAGGAGCUUGCUCCGCUGACGUUAGCGGCGGGCGGGAGUGUAACACGUGUAUACUCCACCUAUAAGACGGGUAUAAUUUCGGGAAACCGGAGCUAACACCGUAUGAUCUACUGAUGCGCGUUGUGCAAUGGUGAGAUUCGGCUUUGCUGUCACUUAUAGCUGGAUACGGGCUUCAUGAGCGGGUUGUGAAGCUAACGGCUUAUCACGGCAACGAGGCGUAGGCGAACUGAGAGGGUGAUAGGCGACCCUGGAACUGAGACACGGUCCAGACUCCUACGGGAGGCAGCAGUCGGGAAUCUUCCGCAAUGGGCGAAAGCAUGACGGAGCAACGCCGAGUGAGUGAUGAAGAUCUUCGGAUCGUAAAGCUCUGUUAUGAGGUAAAAACAAAUGUGUAAUUAAAUAUGCACGUCUUGACGGUACCUAAUAAGAAAGCCACGGCUAACUACGUG
rnacentral:rRNA from 1 species